rnacentral:rRNA from 1 species
AUGGAAGGAACAAGAGGUGGAAGUGAGCUCCCUACAUAUGAACAAUCUAGGCUUGCAAGUAUUGCAGAAAACAAAACUGGUAUCAAGAGUUAUGCUCGUAGCAGGCAUGAAUUGGCUGAAGAACUUGGCUAUGACCCGCAGAGAGAUGAAAUAUUUGUCAGAGAACAUAUACAUAAAAUUGGAGUUCCUACCGCACAAGCAGAGACACAAAUUAAACAACCUGAAGAAGCAGCUGAACCACCACCAACACUUGCAAUUGAAAUUCAAUUUCGUCGACAAGAUGAACAAGUUUCUACUCUACUAGAGGGCACGGAACAAAUGCAA